UACGUAGGGGCCUAGCGUUGUCCGGAUUUAUUGGGCGUAAAGAGCUCGUAGGCGGUUCGGUAAGUCAGCUGUGAAAGUCGGGGGCUCAACCCUCGGAUGCCGGUGGAUACUGUCGGGCUUGAGUACGGAAGAGGCGAGUGGAAUUCCUGGUGUAGCGGUGAAAUGCGCAGAUAUCAGGAGGAACACCAAUUGCGAAGGCAGCUCGCUGGGACGUUACUGACGCUGAGACGCGAAAGCGUGGGGAGCAAACAGG
rnacentral:rRNA from 1 species